rnacentral:sRNA from 2 species
UUCUAAGUGUCGGGGGUUUCCUCGGUACUGAAGUUAACACAUUAAGUACUCCGCCUGAGUAGUACGUACGCAAGUAUGAAACUUAAAGGAAUUGACGGGAUCCCGCACAAGCGGUGGAUCAUGUUUGUUUAAUUCGAAGAUACACGAAAAACCUUACCAGGUCUUGACAUUAUUCUGCGAAGCUAUAGAAAUAUAGUGGAGGUUAUCAGAAUAACAGGUGGUGCAUGGUUGUCGUCAGCUCGUGUCGUGAGAUGUUAGGUUAAGUCCUAAAACGAGCGCAACCCUUGUCGUUAGUUACCAGCACGUUAUGGUGGGGACUUUAGCGAGACUGCCAAUGAAAAAAUUGGAGGAAGGUGAGGAUUACGUCAAAUCAUCAUGCCCCUUAUGAUCUGGGCUACAAACGUGAUACAAUGGCUAUUACAAAGAGCAGCUGAAACGUGAGUUGUUAGCUAAUCUCAAAAAAAUAGUCUCAGUUCGGAUUGAAGUCUGCAACUCGACUUCAUGAAGUUGGAAUCGCUAGUAAUCGCGAAUCAGCAUGUCGCGGUGAAUACGUUCUCGGGGUUUGUACACACCGCCCGUCAAACCAUGAAAGUUGACAAUACCCAAAACCAGUCGCUUAACUACUUCGGUAGAGGGAGCUGUCUAAGGUAGGGUCGAUGAUUGGGGUUAAGUCGUAACAAGGUAUCCCUACCGGAAGGUGGGGAUGGAUCACCUCCUUUCUAAGGAAUUGUCGGAUCAUGAUCAUCUUCAGUUUUGAAAGACUUAGAGUAGAAUAAGUUUUUCUUUUGGCGUAGAGGAAGGGCCUAUAGCUCAGUUGGUAGAGCACACGCUUGAUAAGCGUGCGGUCAAUGGUUCAAGUCCAUUUAGGCCCACCAUACCACAUUCUCUUCUUAUUUCAAA